GACACGGUCCAAACUCCUACGGGAGGCAGCAGUGAGGAAUAUUGGUCAAUGGACGAGAGUCUGAACCAGCCAAGUAGCGUGCAGGAUGACGGCCCUAUGGGUUGUAAACUGCUUUUAUAAGGGAAUAAAGUGAGUCUCGUGAGACUUUUUGCAUGUACCUUAUGAAUAAGGACCGGCUAAUUCCGUGCCAGCAGCCGCGGUAAUACGGAAGGUCCGGGCGUUAUCCGGAUUUAUUGGGUUUAAAGGGAGCGUAGGCCGGAGAUUAAGCGUGUUGUGAAAUGUAGACGCUCAACGUCUGCACUGCAGCGCGAACUGGUUUCCUUGAGUACGCACAAAGUGGGCGGAAUUCGUGGUGUAGCGGUGAAAUGCUUAGAUAUCACGAAGAACUCCGAUUGCGAAGGCAGCUCACUGGAGCGCAACUGACGCUGAAGCUCGAAAGUGCGGGUAUCGAACAGGAUUAGAUACCCUGGUAGUCCGCACGGUAAACGAUGGAUGCCCGCUGUUGGUCUGAAUAGGUCAGCGGCCAAGCGAAAGCAUUAAGCAUCCCACCUGGGGAGUACGCCGGCAACGGUGAAACUCAAAGGAAUUGACGGGGGCCCGCACAAGCGGAGGAACAUGUGGUUUAAUUCGAUGAUACGCGAGGAACCUUACCCGGGCUUGAAUUGCAGAGGAAGGAUUUGGAGACAAUGACGCCCUUCGGGGUCUCUGUGAAGGUGCUGCAUGGUUGUCGUCAGCUCGUGCCGUGAGGUGUCGGCUUAAGUGCCAUAACGAGCGCAACCCCUCUCCUUAGUUGCCAUCAGGUCAAGCUGGGCACUCUGGGGACACUGCCACCGUAAGGUGUGAGGAAGGUGGGGAUGACGUCAAAUCAGCACGGCCCUUACGUCCGGGGCUACACACGUGUUACAAUGGCAGGUACAGAGAGAUGGUGUUCUGCAAAGCGCAUCUAAUCCUUAAAGCCUGUCUCAGUUCGGACUGGGGUCUGCAACCCGACCCCACGAAGCUGGAUUCGCUAGUAAUCGCGCAUCAGCCAUGGCGCGGUGAAUACGUUCCCGGGCCUUGUACACACCGCCCGUCAAGCCAUGGAAGAUUCUCAAGCAAGUUCCACCAUAGAAAGCCGCCGACUCAAAAAAGCCUCCGGCAUA
rnacentral:rRNA from 1 species